rnacentral:rRNA from 1 species
ACGCCAGACUCCUACGGGAGGCAGCAGUGGGGAAUAUUGCACAAUGGGGGAAACCCUGAUGCAGCAACGCCGCGUGGGUGAAGGAGCGUUUCGGCGCGUAAAGCCCUGUCAGCGGGGAAGAAGAAAGACGGUACCCGACCAAGAAGCCCCGGCUAACUCCGUGCCAGCAGCCGCGGUAAUACGUAGGGGGCAAGCGUUAUCCGGAUUUACUGGGGGUAAAGGGAGCGUAGACGGCAGCACAAGUCUGGAGUGAAAGCCCGGGGCUUAACCCCGGAACUGCUUUGGAAACUGUGCGGCUGGAGUGCAGGAGGGGUAAGCGGAAUUCCUAGUGUAGCGGUGAAAUGCGUAGAUAUUAGGAGGAACACCGGUGGCGAAGGCGGCUUACUGGACUGUAACUGACGUUGAGGCUCGAAAGCGUGGGGAGCAAACAGGAUUAGAUACCCGGGUACC